rnacentral:rRNA from 1 species
GACUUCUGGUUUAAUGCACCUGGCCCGCGGCCCACAAGGCCUGUGAGUGCCGGCGCGCGUUUACCAUCCUUCCAGCAACCUUAACUGGGCGGCUGGAACUGGAUCUUUUACUUUGAAAAAAUUAGAGUGUUUAAAGCAGGCGUUUGCUCUGAAUACAUUAGCAUGGAAUAAUAAUCUAGGACUUCGGUUCUAUUUUGAGGGAUAGUUGGGGGUGCUAGUAUUGGCCGGUCAGAGGUGAAAUUCUUGGAUUCGGUCAAGACUAACUUAUGCGAAAGCAUU